UUCAGGUGUUCAUUUUUGUUCCUUGUUGCACUCCGAGGCAGGAUGUAGAUAUCUUCAUAACAAGAACAUUUUUACUUUCUUAGCAGACAACUUAAAAAGAAUGAUUGAGCAGAAUGAGAGAUUCUCAAACCGUCUAGCAAACCUCGCCUACCAACUCUCAAGAUCAUUUCUCCCACUUUCAUGAAGUACAAUUCCUUCUCAUCAUCAUCAAUUUCUUCAACAAAUAUAUUAAUCCAUUUUUAUAUAUUUUUCCGUCUUUUAUUUUUUUC